UGGCUGGUCUUUUUGAAUUUUAUUUCGUUGUUUUAAAUUUGUGCGGAAAGUAAAUUUAACUUGCGAAAUUUUUUAUUGAAUGAUGGCGUGAUGUGUUGAAAAUGUAAAUAUAGGUACAAAACAAUGAUGUUAAAAGUUUGAAAGAAAACGACGACGUAUAAGAGGGUGUGAAAUAGAAAGCGGCUUCAUAAUGAGAGGCAGAGAAGAGAGGUUUUUGAUUGGAUUCUUGUCUCCAACUCCGCAAUCAGAAAGAGUCAAUAACUAUCCUUUCGUGAUUCUCGUGUAGAUCCAACGGCUAGAUUCUAUUCUUAUCCACGUGUCUGGAUCAUACACUUUCAUGUUUAUUAACUACGCAAAAAAAAAAAAAGAGUGAAGCGGCACCGACGGCCAAGCAGCGCGAGUCAUCAUCAUCCUUUUCAGAAGAGACCGAAUCAGAGACGGUGGCGCCCACAUUCCCAUUUUUUUUAAUAAUAUAUUUAUGAGAAUAAGACUUUUUAGUAGUAUUAUUUCAAAGUCUUUGUCCUCUCAAAGAGAGUAUUUAUAGCGAGUAAAUUAUGUUUA